AGAAAUAAGAAGGAAGCUAGACAUGAAAGCAGAAACUUUGUAUUUAGUUGUCAGUACCCUACCAGGGUGGAGAACCUUUUUUUUUUCUGCCAAGGUCAUUUAGAUAUUUAUAACAGUAUUCACAAGCCCCAUAAAAUUAUCAAUACAGACAGAUGGCCUUGGGUAGCUGAUAAGAGCCAUGGAGAAGCAUAUGUGUUUAUCCAGUGAUGUACCAAAUAGUUUUGAGGUCCUUAUGUGGCCUAAAGGCUCCUGUCUCUUGUGGACUAAGCAACUAAUACAUUGGAUAGAUAUUUUAAUUCUUUUUUCCAUUUCUGUCUGAUUAUAGAUCUGGAAGAGAGGAACUAUGUUAGGGUUUAAAUUAAUAGGAUACACAAGGCCUCUCUCACCUGUGCUUCAACAUUAAUAUUCCAUGAAAUAUAAAUUUUGUGUCUCUUGCAGUAAACAAAAAUGCAUGGGAUUAGGAGGACCAGGGUGAUGCAAGAUUUUUUAUAAUUAUUGAACAGUACAGUGACAUACAUGUACAUAUGUUUGUAGACACACACAUGCUGAUCAAGACUCAUCAAAUGGACUCCAUCACCCCUCCAUCACCACUGAAUGUGUUCACAACUACAGUUUUAAAAACCCUGUUGUCAAGAAAGUUGAGAAAAUUUUGACCUUUCAGCCAAACCCUGCCCACCCAGUGCUCUGUCUUUGUACAACCCACCACCUGUUUUUAGACAGUCUGUAUGUUAAAAGCAAUCUUGACAUUUUCAUGUGGUUUAAAAUAAACAGAAAAGAAGAACUGUAUUUCUUGUAUAGAGUUUAUGUGAAAUAAACAUUUUGAUGCCUACAAACAAUGCUGGAGUGGAAUGCAGCUGGCUUCUUUCUGGAAUGGUGGCAGUGAGGAUUAGCAAGAGGGACCAAUGUUUAUUUCCUGGUUCUUUAGAAAAAGUGUGACAACUCAGAAACUCUGAGGGUUCUGACCUGGAACAUCCGACCAAUUUGUGACAUUGGACAUUGGAGUGGAAUGUUUCAGUCUCCAGAUUCUAAAAGAACUAUCAGCAAUAUUAGAUAGAACAGUACUUUUUAUGAUGAGAGUUAACUCCUCAAAGGUGAUUGAGUUAUCUCCACUAAAGAGAAAGACAGAGGGAAAGAGAAAGUGGAGGCAGAGGAAGGGAGAAUUUCCCUGCUUUCCCGUUUCGGUAUUUGGAGGGCAAUAAUCUAGUUCUAUCAAAGAACAUUUUAAUUUUUAAUAAGGUUUUCUUGUGGAGGCACUUAAUCUGUGGUGGAAGAUAAAGAUUACGUAUGUAUUUUUUAAACUACCCCUUUGGAAUUUACUAACUUAUCAUCCUGCAUUCCCUCUAUGAAGUAAGGCCAAGCUAGGCCUAUUUGAACAAAUCCCACUUAAAAUUCAAGAAACCAAUGUCAGAUGAAAAGUGCUGUUAGAAUGGCCACAAACAAAGUUCUCAUAAAAGGCUAAUGCCAUUCAUCUAGAAUUACAGGAAAGAAAGUGAGAACGAGAGGAGAGGCCGGCGUUUAAAGCCCCCCAGCUUUUGUGAGGCCCACAAGAUGGAAAAGAAAGCUCCCAUUAGCAUUCUGGCCAGAGUCCCUUUGUCCAGUGUAAUCAGAGGAGAGGGGUGGCAAUAACAUCUUGCAGGGGCGGGGGAGGGGUGCGCGGAGGUAGGAACAGGAGGCUGAAGGGAAGCGAAAGAAUAAAGGGAAAAGCCAUCUGAUGUUAUGGGCCAGUUCUGGUAGACAGACAAAUGUCAAGACUUUACAGCAGUGGGGGCAGUGGCACUGGGCAGUAGACAAACUCCUGGGGGAUGUCCCUUGAGAAUGCUAGACAGAGCACGGCACUCAGCCAGCAAGCCCUGCAUACACAGACUGCAAGGCUGGAUGAAGGGCCCUUCUGUCACUCCCCCAUCAUCCUUCCCUCCUCACUUCUCCAGGAACCACUCUCCUCUUUGCUCCUCUUGGCUCAGCUUGAGAACAUGCCAUUGGCCACCAUGAGAAGCAAUACUGCAUCUCCUCCUCCUCCCCAUCCCACUCCAUGCCAAGAGAGCUAGAGGGCCUUAUAGAUGCCACACCCUUGCUCUUUGGUACCAAAGCUGUCACUAAGAACUGUUUAUUCUUUGGGAAUGGAGCCAGAAGGCCUAGGUUGUGAUAUAUUCAUGCCAGCGCAGGCUCUCACUAUCAUGAUGCAGGAACUACCUUAAAGCAGCUGGAGACCCCCUGAUGCCCAUGGCAAGCUGAACAUCAGGGAGAAACAUUCUGGGGAGAUUGUGGCCUAAGGCCUAACUGGAAAAGCUGCUUUUCUUCUGAAAUCAGAGUUAAGACUGAAGUAUCUCCCUGUAUCUCAUUCCUGCAACAGGGCUGCUGAAGCCUGAGAAACCCCAACCACUAAGACCAUGGAGUAGAAAGGAAGAGGGGCAGAUUCUAGACAACAAUGUGCAAGUGCCUCUGGAUCUUGAUCUCACAGGGAAGCCUGUGCAUGUACACUUAUGAAAACACAAAGAAGAUGGGGAAAGAAAGAGGGGAGGAGGGAGGGAGAGCAUUUAAGUGAGCAUUCCUAGCCCUACAAGCCCCACCACAGCAAUGGUUCAAAACAAAAGGGAACAGGCACCUGCUUUAAGAGUUUACUUUCUCCUCUCUUUCUCCUCAUUUUCCUAUCAGAAAUCACAAACUUGCACAGGAACUCACUUGACUCAUAGAGAAUGGUAUCUCCUGAGUCCAUAAAUCAGCUCGGAUGAAAUCGCCUUUUUCUUUUUUUUUAAAGGUCUGGGAAUUAGUGUUGCUUACUAGGAAUGCCCCCAAAAGAUAAAAAAGAAUUACAAAAUUCUAUCAUUAAUGUGAAUGAGGGAUUUUUCCAAGAAGGAAAAACACAUGGUCAAGUGUAGCUUGUUCAACAGUUGGAAGUUUGGGAUGAGUGAAGAGCUUUGUGCACAUUUUGGAGAAGGUCAGAUGGCAAUGACCUUCCUGUAACAUCUGGGAGCUUGUCACAUAGUCUUUAGGAUCUAAUGGAGACUCUAGCAAUCAUCGGUAUCCCAACAGAACUUUGGGCUGAGGGGACAGGGUGAGAAGUCUUACUUAAAGAUAAAGGCAAGUAGGAAAUGCUGUCACUGUGCAAAUAUUAACAGGUCCCAACAUGUAUCAAGAGAUGUAGUGUUACCAGCGCUCUACUUAGUUGAAAAUUCACAUGGGGGUGGCUACUGUCCUGAUCCAAAUAAGGAUCUUUCAUUCUUGGGGUUGUUGGAGAAAAUACAGCAAAAACAUAUAACUAAGGUCAUUUAUCUAGUUGCCUAAACUUAAAUCUAGUUUUUGCAGCAUUUCAAUAAAUGUUAUGGCUAGAACCUUGAUUAAAAGAUGCUCCAUGUCUCCCAGUUGCCCGUGUCCUCUCAACAUCUCUUCAAGUCACCCAACCCCCACCCUGAUUACAUCAGCAGUGGAGCCUGAGACUGCAACACCACACUGUUCAACAGAGUUUCCAAAACCCCAUACACAUAAGCAUCAAGAAAACAAUUUAACUGAAAACCAGAGUAGGAUCUUUGUACCCAGAUUACCAAAUGAUGCUUUCAUAGUGUAUAUGUGUAUGUGGUGGUGGGGGGGGACCAUUCCCCAAGCUCUGAUAUGUUUCUUUCUGCUCCUUGCCCUGCCACCCAAAUGUACCCAUGUGACUCCAGAAUACUCAUUUCUGGUUCCAGUGGCCCAAAGAUCUCCCACAAGUCCUACCUCUUAAACUUCCUACCUCUUGCCAAUAGUACCAUUCUGAGGACUAAGCCUUAUCUGAUACACCGGCUAGGGGAUACUUGAGACCCAGACUAUCACACCAUUUCUGAUUAGUGACUCUUUAUAGCGGGGAAGAUACUAUUCUACGCCAAGUGACCAUGUAAUGGACCACCCAGUCUCAUCAUCCAAUGCCAUUGUUUUCUCUCUCUAGCUUUGUCCAUUCUCAAGUAGGCAACACGGUAGCCAAAGUGCUGCUCUGAGGGCCAAAGGGUUGCAGUAUAGACUCCGUCCCUAAAGCCGGGAUAAUGUGGGGCCUUUGUGCUGUGCUUUUUCCUUUAAACACAUAUACUGAAAGGUAAAACAAGGCUCUUACUGAGUUUACAAAACACUAGUGGUUCUCUAGUGGUUGCAUUCCAAUUCUUAUCUUGGGUUUCCAUACUCCACCUCUCUUUUGGCCACUAUCCUCCCAGUUCAAAACAACAGAAAUUCAUACUGAAGACUGGUAAUUCCUCAAAUGGCAUAUGAUAUAUAGAGGCCCGAAUAUCACCAGUUUCUGCAUGUUCAAAUUGAAAAUCAGAAGAAAGACAUUGAUGUAUUAUGUAUAGUAGGAUGUCUUUGAACUUAAAAAGAUACUGUUCACUGAGUCCUCAUAUCCUAAUCCUGGCAACACAGAAACUCCUCCUUGGCCUAAAAGUCAAAAUUGUGUGUGUGUGUGUGUGUGUGUGUGUGAAUAUGCAUGCCUAGGGAAAGGAAGAGGAUGGCGGACAGAGACAGGCAAAAAGCAAGUGGAGGAAGGAGGAAAAUGGAGAGAGAAGAUGUGUUUAAUACAUAAUUAAUUUAACAACAAAAACAAACCUAGGUUCUAGCUAGGCACCAGUGGCUCAUGCCUGUAAUCCUAA